rnacentral:sRNA from 1 species
GGGGCUGGCGCGCUCUCCCGGGCUCACACACAGCCGCGCACGCACGCCCGGGGCCGCUCUCCGCGCCGGCCCUCGCUCCCUGCGCCCAUGCGGACGGACAGAGCGACGGAAGAUGGCUGACGACUCCACGGGGCCCCGAGGAUGCGGCCCGGCGGCGGCGGCGGCGGCGGCGGGAGCGGCAGCGGCAGCGAGGGCGGCAGGGGCAGCGGCAGCAGCGGCGGCGUUGGCUGCGGCGGCGGCGGCGGCGGCAGCAGGAGCCGGAGCGGCGGCGGCGGCGGCGGCGGCAUCCCCGAGACUCUUCGAACUACCCUUCCCCGUGACAGCCACUGACGUCCUCCGCCGCUAGAAGAGACCCCUCUUCUCGGCGCCCGCCCGCCCGCCCUCCCCCUCGCGGCUCGGCCCGGCCCCGCCAGCACCGCUACCUCCGCCAGCCUCGCCACCAUCAGCACCACCUCCACCGCCGCCGCCGCCGCCACCACCACCGCCGGCGGCGGCAGCAGCCAUUUCAUCUCCACAGAAACCAGACACAAAAACAUGGCAGAAAUGGAGAAAGAAGGGAGACCUCCCGAAAAUAAACGGAGCAGGAAGCCGGCUCACCCAGUGAAAAGGGAGAUCAAUGAGGAGAUGAAGAACUUUGCAGAAAACACCAUGAAUGAACUCCUUGGCUGGUAUGGCUAUGAUAAGGUUGAAUUAAAAGAUGGUGAAGAUAUCGAAUUCAGGAGCUACCCUACAGAUGGGGAGAGCCGGCAGCACAUUUCUGUUCUCAAAGAAAAUUCUUUGCCAAAACCAAAAUUACCCGAGGACAGUGUUAUUUCACCAUACAAUAUAAGCACAGGCUAUUCAGGGCUUGCCACUGGAAAUGGACUCAGUGACUCACCUGCAGGGUCAAAGGAUCAUGGCAAUGUGCCCAUUAUUGUACCUUUAAUUCCACCACCUUUCAUAAAGCCACCAGCAGAAGAUGAUGUGUCAAAUGUACAAAUAAUGUGUGCCUGGUGCCAGAAAGUGGGAAUCAAGCGCUAUUCCCUGAGUAUGGGAAGUGAGGUGAAAAGCUUCUGCAGCGAGAAGUGCUUUGCGGCCUGCCGACGAGCCUACUUCAAGAGAAAUAAGGUUUAUCCUUUGUCUGUGUCAUUCAGCUUUUCCCAUUCUACCAAGGAGGAUUAGCAGAAGAUGAUUCUGCAUAAUUUAUGGAUAAUUUCUCCUGUUUUUCUGCCUCUAUUCUCCCAUGUUAUAUUGACAUUCAUUGUAUCUAGAGUGCAAAAUUUAAACAUUUUAGACUUAGAAUGUUGAUCCACAAGAUUAAUCCUGACAUGCUUCUGAGACUGAUGUCGUGAAAAAAAUUACAAAGUUAAAUUUCUACAAAAUUUAUGAUUAUAAGAUGUAGGCUGUAUUGAUUUUUAGUCUUUUCAUUUGAUCUUCCUUGCAAACUUGGUUCUGAGUACCUACUGAUACACUUAGAUUGUCCAAGAAAUCAACUUCAGAUGAGAGAACAUAAAAUACUUUGGAAAUGAGUUUGUGUUUCUACUAUUUUCAUAAAGAUCUAGUUCGUUUUUUUUUUCCCCCCCG